rnacentral:rRNA from 1 species
GUGAGUAACAUGUAGGUAUCUACCCUUUGGCCUGGAAUAACACGACGAAACUUGUGCUAAUACCGGAUAAGUCUUUACGGAGAAAGCUUUAUGCACCAUUGGAUGAGCCUGCACUUGAUUAGUUUGUUGGUGGGGUAAUGGCCUACCAAGACUGUGAUCAAUAGCUGAUUUGAGAGGAUGAUCAGCCACAUUGGGACUGAGACACGGCCCAAACUCCUACGGGAGGCAGCAGUGGGGAAUCUUGCACAAUGGAGGAAACUCUGAUGCAGCGAUGCCGCGUGAGUGAAGAAGGCCCUUGGGUUGUAAAGCUCUUUCGUCGGGGAAGAAAAUGACUGUACCCGAAUAAGAAGGUCCGGCUAACUUCGUGCCAGCAGCCGCGGUAAUACGAAGGGACCUAGCGUAGUUCGGAAUUACUGGGCUUAAAGAGUUCGUAGGUGGUUGAAAAAGUUAGUGGUGAAAUCCCAGAGCUUAACUCUGGAACUGCCAUUAAAACUUUUCAGCUAGAGUAUGAUA